UACGAAGGGGGCUAGCGUUGCUCGGAAUCACUGGGCGUAAAGGGUGCGUAGGCGGGUUUUUAAGUCAGGGGUGAAAUCCUGGAGCUCAACUCCAGAACUGCCUUUGAUACUGAAGAUCUUGAGUCCGGGAGAGGUGAGUGGAACUGCGAGUGUAGAGGUGAAAUUCGUAGAUAUUCGCAAGAACACCAGUGGCGAAGGCGGCUCACUGGCCCGAUACUGACGCUGAUGCACGAAAGCGUGGGGAGCGAACAGG
rnacentral:rRNA from 1 species